GCCCCGGGCCAUGCAGCUGGCUGAGUGAGAGCUCCUAACUUGUACUUUCACCCCUCCUGGAAGCUUUGGUUUGUUGGGGGAAGCAGAUUCAUAUCAGACCCAAGGCAACUCAGCCCUGAUUGAGAUAGAAAUCGAGUCUUUUGGGAGAGAGAAGGGAGGGAGAGUUCCAGUCAAAAGGGUUUCGUGAAGAAGGUCGCCUCUGACUGGGACAGCUAGGCCUCUGUGUACCACUUUAAAAGGUGCCGACUUUUCUAGUAAAUAUCCUCCAUGUCAAAGUCUAUCUCAAGAUCUGCUCCAGGACAACCCCGCCUGCAACGGGGCCCAUUUAUGUUCCAGCCAGCACAGUGACCCUGAGUCUGGGAGGGUGCCCACAGACGGCUUUUGUGAGCAGCAUGCCCUCAGUGGCCAGUCCCCAAGCCCCCAACUCCACGUGGAGCAAGGACCAACCAACCCGUGGAGAAGAGGAACCCGCCUGCAAGGCAAGCCAAGAAGGGACCUUUGGAACCAGCCACACUGGACUCUAGGGGGCUGGAUGGCUGGCCCCAAAAGGAUAUGCCCAUGUCCUAAGCCCCAGAACCCAAAAAUAUUGCCUUAUUUGGAAAGAAAUUCUUUGUAGAUGUCAUGAGGAAUUUUGAGAUGAAGAGAUUAACUUGUAUUAUGCAAGUGGGCCCUCAAUCCAACGGCAAGUGUCCUUACAAGAGUAAGGCAGGCUGGGCGUGGUGGCUCACACCCAGUUGGCAAGUUGCUUGUCCCAGCACUGUGGGAGGCUGAGGCAGGUGGAUCACGAGGUCAAGAGAUCGAGACCAUCCUGACUAACAUGGUGAAACGCCCUCUCUAC